UACGGAGGAUCCGAGCGUUAUCCGGAAUCAUUGGGUUUAAAGGGUCCGUAGGCGGGUUAGUAAGUCAGUGGUGAAAUCCGGCAGCUUAACUGUCGAAUUGCCGUUGAUACUGCUAAUCUUGAAUUACUGUGAAGUGGUUAGAAUAUGUAGUGUAGCGGUGAAAUGCUUAGAUAUUACAUGGAAUACCAAUUGCGAAGGCAGAUCACUAAGCCAAGAUUGACGCUGAGGCACGAAAGUGUGGGGAUCAAACAGGAUUAGAUA
rnacentral:rRNA from 1 species